UACAGAGGGUGCAAGCGUUGUCCGGAAUUACUGGGCGUAAAGGGCGCGUAGGCGGCCCGAUAAGUAGGACGUGAAAUCCCGUGGCUUAACCACGGAACUGCGUUCUAGACUGUCAGGCUUGAGCACGGUAGAGGCAGAUGGAAUUCCCGGUGUAGCGGUGGAAUGCGUAGAGAUCGGGAAGAACACCAGUGGCGAAGGCGGUCUGCUGGGCCGUUGCUGACGCUGAGGCGCGACAGCGUGGGGAGCAAACAGG
rnacentral:rRNA from 1 species